GCUUAACCGGAGAAGUGCAUCGGAAACUGGAUAACUUGAGUGCAGAAGAGCGUAGUGGAACUCCAUGUGUAGCGGUGGAAUGCGUAGAUAUAUGGAAGAACACCAGUGGCGAAGGCGGCUACCUGGUCUGCAACUGACGCUGAGACUCGAAAGCAUGGGUAGCGAACAGGAUUAGAUACCCUGGUAGUCCAUGCCGUAAACGAUGAGUGCUAGGUGUUGGAGGGUUUCCGCCCUUCAGUGCCGGAGCUAACGCAUUAAGCACUCCGCCUGGGGAGUACGACCGCAAGGUUGAAACUCAAAGGAAUUGACGGGGGCCCGCACAAGCGGUGGAGCAUGUGGUUUAAUUCGAAGCUACGCGAAGAACCUUACCAGGUCUUGACAUCUUGCGCCAACCCUAGAGAUAGGGCGUUUCCUUCGGGAACGCAAUGACAGGUGGUGCAUGGUCGUCGUCAGCUCGUGUCGUGAGAUGUUGGGUUAAGUCCCGCAACGAGCGCAACCCUUGUUACUAGUUGCCAGCAUUAAGUUGGGCACUCUAGUGAGACUGCCGGUGACAAACCGGAGGAAGGUGGGGACGACGUCAGACCAUCAUGCCCCUUAUGACCUGGGCUACACACGUGCUACAAUGGACGGUACAACG
rnacentral:rRNA from 1 species